rnacentral:rRNA from 1 species
AGAGUUUGAUCCUGGCUCAGGAUGAACGCUAGCUACAGGCUUAACACAUGCAAGUCGAGGGGCAGCAUGGUCUUAUCUUGCUAAGGCCGAUGGCGACCGGCGCACGGGUGAGUAACACGUAUCCAACCUGCCGUCUACUCUUGGACAGCCUUCUGAAAGGAAGAUUAAUACAAGAUGGCAUCAUGAGUCCGCAUGUUCACAUGAUUAAAGGUAUUCCGGUAGACGAUGGGGAUGCGUUCCAUUAGAUAGUAGGCGGGGUAACGGCCCACCUAGUCUUCGAUGGAUAGGGGUUCUGAGAGGAAGGUCCCCCACAUUGGAACUGAGACACGGUCCAAACUCCUACGGGAGGCAGCAGUGAGGAAUAUUGGUCAAUGGACGAGAGUCUGAACCAGCCAAGUAGCGUGAAGGAUGACUGCCCUAUGGGUUGUAAACUUCUUUUAUACGGGAAUAAAGUGAGGCACGAGUGCCUUUUUGUAUGUACCGUAUGAAUAAGGAUCGGCUAACUCCGUGCCAGCAGCCGCGGUAAUACGGAGGAUCCGAGCGUUAUCCGGAUUUAUUGGGUUUAAAGGGAGCGUAGGCGGACGCUUAAGUCAGUUGUGAAAGUUUGCGGCUCAACCGUAAAAUUGCAGUUGAUACUGGGUGUCUUGAGUACAGUAGAGGCAGGCGGAAUUCGUGGUGUAGCGGUGAAAUGCUUAGAUAUCACGAAGAACUCCGAUUGCGAAGGCAGCCUGCUGGCCUGUAACUGACGCUGAUGCUCGAAAGUGUGGGUAUCAAACAGGAUUAGAUACCCUGGUAGUCCACACAGUAAACGCCGAAAACGAGCUGUUUGCGAUAUACAGUAAGCGGCCAAGCGAAAGCGUUAAGUAUUCCACCUGGGGAGUACGCCGGCAACGGUGAAACUCAAAGGAAUUGACGGGGGCCCGCACAAGCGGAGGAACAUGUGGUUUAAUUCGAUGAUACGCGAGGAACCUUACCCGGGCUUGAAUUGCAACUGAAUGAUGUGGAGACAUGUCAGCCGCAAGGCAGUUGUGAAGGUGCUGCAUGGUUGUCGUCAGCUCGUGCCGUGAGGUGUCGGCUUAAGUGCCAUAACGAGCGCAACCCUUAUCGAUAGUUACCAUCAGGUUAUGCUGGGGACUCUGUCGAGACUGCCGUCGUAAGAUGUGAGGAAGGUGGGGAUGACGUCAAAUCAGCACGGCCCUUACGUCCGGGGCUACACACGUGUUACAAUGGGGGGUACAGAAGGCAGCUACACGGCGACGUGAUGCUAAUCCCGAAAGCCUCUCUCAGUUCGGAUUGGAGUCUGCAACCCGACUCCAUGAAGCUGGAUUCGCUAGUAAUCGCGCAUCAGCCACGGCGCGGUGAAUACGUUCCCGGGCCUUGCACUCACCGCCCGUCA